GGGCUUUAGCUCAGUGGUAGAGCAUCUGCUUAGCAAGCAGAAGGUCGGGGGUUCGAUCCCCUCAGGCUCC
rnacentral:tRNA from 1 species